GAUGAACGCUGGCGGCGUGCCUAAUACAUGCAAGUCGAGCGAACAGACGAGGAGCUUGCUCCUCUGACGUUAGCGGCGGACGGGUGAGUAACACGUGGAUAACCUACCUAUAAGACUGGGAUAACUUCGGGAAACCGGAGCUAAUACCGGAUAAUAUAUUGAACCGGAUGGUUCAAUAGUGAAAGACGGUUUUGCUGUCCCUUAUAGAUGGAUCCGCGCCGCAUUAGCUAGUUGGUAAGGUAACGGCUUACCAAGGCGACGAUGCGUAGCCGACCUGAGAGGGUGAUCGGCCAAACUGGAACUGAGACACGGUCCAGACUCCUACGGGAGGCAGCAGUAGGGAAUCUUCCGCAAUGGGCGAAAGCCUGACGGAGCAACGCCGCGUGAGUGAUGAAGGUCUUCGGAUCGUAAAACUCUGUUAGUAGGGAAGAACAAAUGUGUAAGUAACUAUGCACGUCUUGACGGUACCUAAUCAGAAAGCCACGGCUAACUACGUG
rnacentral:rRNA from 1 species